AUUUCUCCUCUGUGCUCACUGCCACACGCAGCUCAACCUGGACGGCACAGCCAGAUGCGAGAUGCGUCUCUGCUGAUCUGAGUCUGCCUGCAGCAUGGACCUGGGUCUUCCCUGAAGCAUCUCCAGGGCUGGAGGGACGACUGCCAUGGGCUCAUCCAUCCGCAGAGCAGGGCAGUGGGAGGAGACGCCAUGACCCCCAUCGUCACAGUCCUGAUCUGUCUCGGGCUGAGUCUGGGCCCCAGGACCCACGUGCAGACAGGGACCAUCCCCAAGCCCACCCUGUGGGCUGAGCCAGACUCUGUGAUCACCCAGGGGAGUCCCGUCACCCUCAGUUGUCAGGGGAGCCUUGAAGCCCAGGAGUACCGUCUAUAUAGGGAGAAAAAAUCAGCAUCUUGGAUUACACGGAUACGACCAGAGCUUGUGAAGAACGGCCAGUUCCACAUCCCAUCCAUCACCUGGGAACACACAGGGCGAUAUGGCUGUCAGUAUUACAGCCGCGCUCGGUGGUCUGAGCUCAGUGACCCCCUGGUGCUGGUGAUGACAGG
rnacentral:misc_RNA from 1 species